rnacentral:rRNA from 1 species
CCUACGGGUGGCUGCAGUGGGGAAUAUUGGACAAUGGGGGCAACCCUGAUCCAGCCAUGCCGCGUGUGUGAAGAAGGCCCUCGGGUUGUAAAGCACUUUCAGUGAGGAAGAACGCCUGGUGGUUAAUACCCAUCAGGAAAGACAUCACUCACAGAAGAAGCACCGGCUAACUCCGUGCCAGCAGCCGCGGUAAUACGGAGGGUGCGAGCGUUAAUCGGAAUUACUGGGCGUAAAGCGCGCGUAGGUGGCUUGAUAAGCCGGUUGUGAAAGCCCCGGGCUCAACCUGGGAACGGCAUCCCGAACUGUCAAGCUAGAGUGCAGGAGAGGAAGGUAGAAUUCCCGGUGUAGCGGUGAAAUGCGUAGAGAUCGGGAGGAAUACCAGUGGCGAAGGCGGCCUUCUGGACUGACACUGACACUGAGGUGCGAAAGCGUGGGUAGCAAACAGGAUUAGAUACCCCAGUAGUC